UUUGUUUUACAUAUAAAUUUUUUAGUUACUUUUAAAAAAUUUUAAAAAUUAAAAAAAUUAUUAUAGAAUUUAAUUUUAAAUAUUUAAGAAAUUAAGAUUUAGUAAUAUUAGAAUUAUUAACUAAUUUUGUGCCAGCAGUUGCGGUUACAAUAAAUAAAUUAAAUUUUAUUAGUAAUUAAUUAAUAAGUUAAUAUAAUUAUUAUAAAUUUAUUAUUAUUAAGUAAAAUUUUAAUUUUUUAAAAUAUAAUUAAUAUUUAAUUAUGAUUUAAUAAAUUAAAUUUUAAAGUAGGAUUAGAUACCCUAUUAUUAAAAAAUUAAAAUUUUAAACUAAAAUACUAAAUUGGUUUUAAAACUUAAAAAAAUUGGCGGUAUUUUAGUUUAUAAAGAGGAAUCUGUUUAUUAAUUGAUAUUCCACGAAUAAAUUUACUUAAUUUAAAGUUUAUAUAUCGUCGUUAAAAAAAUAUUUUAUAAAAAUAAAAAUAUUUAAAAAUUUUAAUAAAAAAUUAAAUCAGAUCAAGAUGUAAUUUAUGUUUAAGAAUAUAAUGCAUUAGAAUAAAAUAUUUAUAAAUAAUGAAUUAUAAUUUGUAAUAAUUAUAUGAAAUUGGAUUUAAAUCUAAUAAUAUUUAAUUUAAUUUAAUGAUUUAAUAUUAAAAUAUGUACAUAUUGCCCGUCGCUCUCAUUUUAAAAUUGAGAUAAGUCGUAACAAAGUAGACCUACUGGAAAGUGUUUCUAGAAAGAAU
rnacentral:ncRNA from 1 species